AUUGAACGCUGGCGGCAGGCCUAACACAUGCAAGUCGAGCGGAUGAAGGGAGCUUGCUCCUGGAUUCAGCGGCGGACGGGUGAGUAAUGCCUAGGAAUCUGCCUGGUAGUGGGGGAUAACGUCCGGAAACGGGCGCUAAUACCGCAUACGUCCUGAGGGAGAAAGUGGGGGAUCUUCGGACCUCACGCUAUCAGAUGAGCCUAGGUCGGAGUAGCUAGUUGGUGGGGUAAAGGCCUACCAAGGCGACGAUCCGUAACUGGUCUGAGAGGAUGAUCAGUCACACUGGAACGGAGACACGGUCCAGGCUCCUACGGGAGGCAGCAGUGGGGAAUAUUGGGCAAUGGGCGAAAGCCUGAUCCAGCCAUGCCGCGUGUGUGAAGAAGGUCUUCGGAUUGUAAAGCACGUUAAGUUGGGAGGAAGGGCAGUAAGUUAAUACCUUGCUGUUUUGACGUUACCAACAGAAUAAGCACCGGCUAACUUCGUG
rnacentral:rRNA from 1 species